AGAGAGAGAGAACCACCACCUAAGUAUAGAGAUGAGAAGAAAACUUGUAAGAAUCAGUCCUCUACUUCCUCCACCAGUCUCAGGGACAACCUGGAGUUCAAAUGGCCUCCAUGAUGCUUCUUAGUUCAAGAUCUGGCAGUGGGAUAUGAUGCAGCAGCUUCAAUGGAUGAUUUUUGCUUUGGACACUACUGAGAAUGAUUUUGUAUUCUCUGACUUUGUUUUGUUGUAUCCUAUUCUUUGCCUUGUAUUGUAUUCAUUAUUUUUAUUGUUGCUGUAAUAAAAUACUUACCAAAAGCAGCUUAACAGAGUAAGGCUUUAUUUUGGCUCAGAGUUUCAGAGUUUCUCAAGCCACAGUGGAGUUUACUUAAUAUGAAUGUGUAGUGGACGUAGCCAGAUAAGGAAGCAGAGAACACUUGCCAAAUCCAAAACCAGAAGCAGAUUUAAUCCUCAGAUCUCCAUCUCUUAAUAAUGUACUUUCCCCAGGUACCACUUCCUAAAGGCUCCAUAACCUCUCAAAACAGUGCCACCAGCUAAGGAGCAAAUGUUCAAAGCAUUGUGCAGUACAUUUCAUACUUGAAUCAUAACAUAUAUGACCCUAAUUUCCCCCUUCUGUUUUUCUCCUGCCAUUACCCAGUCUUCAAAUGCUUCUAAUUCAUUUGCUCCCAUUUCUCCUUCAGAAAUGAUGCUCUUUAUGACCUUGGGUCCUGUACAUUUUUCCUACAGCUAACAAUUCUUGAGAGCUGAUCAGUUUUUUCACUACUUUCAUACACACUAGGUAUCUUUCUAUACAUGAUCUCAGCUUCCUUUACCCACUCUGCUCUGGCUUUUCAGACCCCUCUUGUAUUCUUAAACAGUUCAUGGCAAAAGUUUGAAAGACAGCUGACCUAGAUGUUUGUGUUCUGUUUGCUUGCUUGUUAGUUUUUCAUUUAUAUGUAAUUAGAGCAUUCUGUAUUAGUUUCUAAUUUAUAUUACACAUUAUGCUAAAAGUAUUGAUUAUGUGUGGAAUAUGAUGUGUUGAUUAGUAUAUUUUAUGAGGAAGUUUAUGGAGAGACUUGAGGGAUUUUUAGUAAGUUGAGUUUUUUGAAAAUGCUAAAGAUCCGAUGCAAACCUUUCUACAUGCUAGGCAAGUGCUCUGCUACAGUACGUUUACUAUCUGUAUUAUCACCUGUUAAGUCUUUCAUUUGUAUUGUUUAAUAAUAUGACAUUAUGUGGAUUCAAGUUUGUCCAUUUGCUGACUGAGAAGUACUUAAGUUAUUUUAUCUUUGGAUGAUUAAAAUAUUCAUUUAUAAG